UACGUAGGGUGCAAGCGUUUGUCCGGAAUUAUUGGGCGUAAAGAGCUCGUAGGCGGUUUGUCGCGUCUGCUGUGAAAACUCAGGGCUUAACCCUGAGCCUGCAGUGGGUACGGGCAGACUAGAGUGUGGUAGGGGAGAUCGGAAUUCCUGGUGUAGCGGUGGAAUGCGCAGAUAUCAGGAGGAACACCGGUGGCGAAGGCGGAUCUCCUGGGCCAUAACUGACGCUGGAGGAGCGAAAGCAUGGGGAGCGAACAGGA
rnacentral:rRNA from 1 species